rnacentral:piRNA from 1 species
UNCCUACUCAACCAGAUGCACUCAUGCCU